GUCCACGCCUUAAACGAUGAUCACUUGGUGUUGGAGGUAUUGACCCCUUCAGUGCCGAAGCUAACGCGUUAAGUGAUCCGCCUGGGAAGUACGGUCGCAAGAUUAAAACUCAAAGAAAUUGACGGGGCCCGCACAAGCGGUGGAGCAUGUGGUUUAAUUCGAUGCAACGCGCAAAACCUUACCUGGGCUCGAAAUGUAGUGGAAGUUAGUAGAGAUAUUAACGCCCGCAAGGGUCGCUAUAUAGGUGCUGCAUGGCUGUCGU
rnacentral:rRNA from 1 species